rnacentral:rRNA from 1 species
CAGCAGCCGCGGGAAAACAGAGGGUGCAAGCGUUAAUCGGAAUUACUGGGCGUAAAGCGCGCGUAGGUGGUUUGUUAAGUUGGAUGUGAAAUCCCCGGGCUCAACCUGGGAACUGCAUCCAAAACUGGCAGGCUAGAGUAGGGCAGAGGGUGGUGGAAUUUCCUGUGUAGCGGUGAAAUGCGUAGAUAUAGGAAGGAACACCAGUGGCGAAGGCGACCACCUGGGCUCAUACUGACACUGAGGUGCGAAAGCGUGGGGAGCAAACAGGAUUAGAUACCCCUGUAGUCCCUGUCUCUUAUAU